ACUGUGUGUUAUAUGUGUCACACGGGACUGCCGGUUUAAGCGGAGGAAGGUGGGAUGACGUCAAGUCGGCAUGGCCUUCAUAUCCUGGGCUACACACACGCUACAAUGGUCGGUACAAUAGGUUGCCAAGCCGCGAGGCGGAGCCAAUCCACAAAGCCGGCCUCAGUUCAGAUUGUAGGCUGCAACUCGCCUGCAUGAAGAUGGAGUUGCUAGUAACCGCAGGUCAGCAAUACUGCGGUGAAUACGCUCCCGGGUCUU
rnacentral:rRNA from 1 species